rnacentral:rRNA from 1 species
AUUGAACGCUGGCGGCAGGCUUAACACAUGCAAGUCGAGCGAGCGGCGGACGGGUGAGUCAUGUCUGGGAAACUGCCUGAUGGAGGGGGAUAACUACUGGAAACGGUAGCUAAUACAGCAUACCAUCGGAUGUGCCCAGAUGGGAUUAGCUAGUAGGUGGGGUAAUGGCUCACCUAGGCCACGAUCCCUAGCUGGUCUGAGAGGAUGACAAGCCACACUGUGACUGAGCCAUGGUCCAGACGCCUACGGGAGGCAGGAGUGGGGAAUAUUGCACAAUGGGCGAAAGCCUGAUGCAGCCAUGCCGCGUGUGUGAAGAAGGCCUUCGGGUUGUAAAGCACUUUCAGCGAGGAGGCGUUACUCGCAGAAGAAGCACCGGCUAACUCCGUGCCAGCAGCCGCGGUAAUAC